rnacentral:lncRNA from 1 species
CAUCUCUAGGCCCUUAAGGGUGUUAAGUUGUCUUCAGUGGUUAGUUAACCUUUGUCCUCCCUGAUAGAAAGGUGGGUGCGGGAUACGUUUUGUCUCUGUCUAUGUACAUCCUGCUUUUCAGUAAACACAAGGAGGGCAGAGAGUUCUCCUGCAUCUGCUACUUUCUUGCCUUCAGCUCAACAAUCCUUCUGUGAAAGAGGCAUAUUUUGUGGUGCUAUGUGCUGAUCUUCCACACAGCCAAAUGGAGGCAGAGGUCACAGAGGAACUAGAAGGAUGGAAAACUGCAGGAGAGUCUCGUUGCCAUCACUCAGUCAAUCAACCAGUUUUGGAUACCUGCCAUGUGCCAAGCCCUGACUGCAGUAAAAAGGAUACCAAAAUAAAUUACUUACUGCUCUCAAAAAGCAAACCGUUUGCUGGCAGACUUGAUCAUAUACCAAUGACUGGAGGAAGGGGAAAGUGAGCUUUAUGGUCAAAGACGUUCAAUGGCAAUAUUUUAUUUACUUAUUUAUUUAUUUUUGAGACAGAAUUUUGCUCUUGUUGCCUGAUCCACCUGCCUCGGCCUCCCAAAGUGCUGGGAUUACAGGCGUGAGCCACCGCGCCCAGUCUGGCAAUAUUUAUAAUAGUGGAAAACAGAAAACAAUUGUUCAGUAGUGUAAAAGUUUUUUUUUUUUUUGAGAUGGAGUCUCGCUCUGUUGCCCAGGCUGGAGCGCAGUGGUGCAAUCUCGGCUCACUGCAACCUCUACCUCCUGGGUUCAAGCGAUUCUCCUGUCUCAGCCUCCCGAGUAGCUGGGAUUACACGUGCCUGUCACAAUGCCCAGUCAAUUUUUUUUUUGUAUUUUUAGUAGAGACAGGGUUUCGCUGUGUUGGCCAGGCUGGUCUGGAACUCCGACCUGAGAUGAUCCACCUGCCUCGACCUCCCAAAGUGCUAGGAUUACAGGCAUGAGCCAUCACGCCCAGACCAGAAAUUUCUUAAAUAAACACUAGCUUAUAUUUGUUACUGGAAAGGGGUCACAAUUCAGACCCCAAGAGAGGGUUCUUGGAUCUCACUCAGGAAAGAAUUUGGGGCUGGACAUGGUGGCUCACACCUGUAAUCCCAGCACUUUGGGGAGGCCGAGGGAGGCAGAUGACUUGAGGUUAGGAGUUUGAGACCAGUCUGGCCAACACAGUGAAACCCCAUCUCUACUAAAAAUACAAAAAUUAGACAGGCGUGGUACUGAGCGCCUGUAAUCCCAGCUACUUGAGAGGCUGAGGCAAGAGAAUCGCUUGAACCCAGGAGGCAGAGGUUCCAGUGAGUCGAGACUGUACCAUUGUACUCCAGCCUGGGCAACAAGAGCGAGACUCUAUCUCAAAAAAAAUAAAUAAAAAUAAAAGAAAGAAAGAAAGAAUUCGGGGCGAGUCCACAGAGUAAAAUGAAAGCAAGUUU